UACGAAGGGGGCUAGCGUUGCUCGGAAUGACUGGGCGUAAAGGGCGCGUAGGCGGCACAGACAGUCAGAAGUGAAAUUCCUGGGCUCAACCUGGGGACUGCUUUUGAUACGUCUGAGCUAGAGUGGAGAAGAGGGUUGUGGAAUUUCCAGUGUAGAGGUGAAAUUCGUAGAUAUUGGAAAGAACACCGGUGGCGAAGGCGGCAACCUGGUCUUCUACUGACGCUGAGGCGCGAAAGCGUGGGGAGCAAACAGG
rnacentral:rRNA from 2 species